rnacentral:rRNA from 1 species
GACGAACCGAGCGAACGUUGUUCGGAAUCACUGGGCUUAAAGGGCGCGUAGGCGGGCUGCCAAGUCCGUGGUGAAAUCCCCCGGCUCAACCGGGGAAGGGCCUCGGAUACUGGCGGCCUCGAGGGGGGUAGGGGCGUGCGGAACUGUGGGUGGAGCGGUGAAAUGCGUUGAUAUCCACAGGAACUCCGGUGGCGAAGGCGGCACGCUGGACCCCAUCUGACGCUGAGGCGCGAAAGCCAGGGGAGCGAACGGG